rnacentral:misc_RNA from 1 species
GAAAAAUGAAUGAAACAAUGCAUGUUUAUUAUGAAAUAGACCAACCUUUGCUUCCUAGUAUGAAUUAGGUUGUUAAGGAGCGGGGUUAAGUUGGAGUAGAGUCAACAUUUGAAAAUUUUCCUAUAAGAGAAAAAGAGAAUCUGAAAAUAAAGUAUUCUCGGCUAUUCACCUUUUCAAUAUUAUUUGAAUAAAAAAUUUAUGAUAACCUCGACAAGCUAUGCCCUUACACCACUUGAGUCUCAACACAAGUCCAAUUACUCUAUUGUUU